GCCACUGCCGCGCGCCUGCCCACGGCCCGCCCUCGCGCGUGCCUGCGCUGACACCUGCCGGGGGCGCGCGGCCCUGAGGCGCUGAGGGGGCGGACGAGGCGGGAGGGAUCGACCGGGACUGCCCCCGCUCCCCGUCUCAUUCUGGCUCUCGCCCUCACUCUCCCUUCUCCUUCGUCUCCCUCUGUCUCUCGCUCUCACCCGCUCUUGGAGCUGCCAGGAGCCUCCCCUCCGGCUGUGGAGGCGUUCUGAGGGCAGCGCCCUCUGCAGCGUCGGCCCCGGGGCUGUGAGGGUGCGGUGCCGGGAGACGGCACUCGAGGGGCUGCUUCACACCGGCCAGCGCGGCUUAGAGAGGGAGAAAAAAACGGGGUUAAAAUUUUCCUCCACCAAGAAGAGAAGCAGGAGUGCAAAACGUUGGGAUAACUAAAUGCUCACAUCUGUGUUUAUGAAUGGUUUUGGAUCCUUGUGAGCGGAGAGGUAAUUCUGUGCACUUGUCUUGGAAGGGGUUCAAGAAUGAUGCAGUAGAUGGCAAAAUGGCCCUGCAGUCCUUUUUCUGCACAGAAGACUGGAGACUCACAGGUAAACCAUGACUGCUUCUUACAGUAUCUCUCACCAGUAGCUGCAAAUUUGUACUGCCUGGAAUCCUGCACCAGUUUCACAAGACAAGUGUGCAUUGAAAAAAAAAUCAUUUCAAUGGAAAUGCAUUUCAAGCACACAGUACAAUGUUGUGAUGUUAAGCUUCAACCCUGGGAUACAUCACAAGCCCAAAGCACGGAGAAACUCACUGACUGCAACAGUGUUUACAAAAAAGCAAAAGAACUCUGAUAUGUUCUUGGUUUGGCGUUCCUUGCUUACAAUUAGUCAGGCCCAAGGUCUUCAAGCAAAAUAAUCUGCUCCAACAUCACUGAUGUCCACAGUAGAGCUGAUAUAUGUCAGACAAAGUAAACAAACCAGAAUUAGUAUUUCUUUUUCAGUUCCACUACCUGAAACACACUGGUUCAACAAGUGAAUGCUGGCAAUAUCACAGCAGGUGCAGGAAUGUUAGUACU